CACAGCCACAGUGUUUAAUGUUUGAUUUCAGGUGUGUUUGGUGAUACAGUUAGUGAGUCUGUGUCAGUGAUGGAGGGAGAUUCUGUCACUCUACACACCAGUCUUACUGAAGUAGAGAAAGGGCAUGUGAUAGACUGGAGGUUUGGACCAAACAGCAUUCUCAUAGCUAGAGUCAAUAGCGUAGCUAAUACAGCAAAUGUAUAUACUGAUGUAAUUGGUGAGAGUUUCAGAGGCAGACUGCAAAUAAACCAGCAGAUUGGAGAUCUCAACAUCACGAACAUAAGAACAGAACAUUCUGGACUUUACAAACUAAGCAUCCAUGGCAAAAACAUAGACAUGUUAUACAAUGUCAGUGGUGAGUAUGUCAGGGUUAUUUUCAGUCUGAUAAUUUAAUUUCACAUUCACUCCCCCACCUACAAUUCCUUCCAGUUCUGAGACUCGAAACCGCGACCUUUGGGUUACAAGUCCGACUCUCAACCAUUAGGCCACAACUGUCACUACUUUAACAUUAAAUUAAGUGUAUAAGCAAUACCUGAGAUUAUCAUUGCCAUAUAUCUUGAAAACAAGAACGUUCAAAGUUUAUUCUAUGAUUGUUUUAGAAACUCUGUUUGUUUUCUCAGUAAUGCUAAAAUGGUAUAUAGUAUGUACUUUUCUGUUUCGUUGCGAGUCCGCCUACAUGAUCUUCUGAUUGGCUGUGGUAUUUGAUUGUACUUCAGUAGCAGUCUUAAUUUUGUCUGUUUUUAGAAAGAUAAGUUUGAUCUCUGAGUACCUGUUCUUGCAUUUCCUCCAGUUGUGUCUGAUAAAAGAGAUGGGCUUGAGAUUGUGCCGGUCAUGAAGGGAGAUUAUGUCAUUCUACACACUGAUGCUGCUGAAAUACAGAAAUAUCAUCUGAUACAGUGGAUGUUUGGAAACACUGUGAUAUGUACAUUUAACAAAACGUACCAAGUUCCGCCAAUCUUAAACAAAUUAGAGGUGGAUCGUGACACUGGAUCUCUCAAAAUCAGGAGCAUUAGAACAGAACAGUGUGGGACUUAUAACCUACAGAUGAUCAGCAGCACUCACACCAUACAGAAGAGAUUCAAUAUUACUAUUUUUGAUGCAGUAAAGUCAGUAUCAGUGAUGGAGGGAGAUUCAGUCACUCUGGAAUCUGAUAUUACUAAAAUAUAUGAUGAGAUACAGUUUGAAUAUGACGACUCCAUUAUAGCGGAAAUCAGUAGAGCUGCCCAAAACUUCUCUACAUUUGAUGGUCCUGAUGGUAGAUUCAGACACAGACUGAAGCUGGACAAUCAAAC
ensembl:lncRNA